AACCCAAGAAAAGUGAUGAGGACUUGGUAGUCAUUGUCCCUUGUCCUCCAUGUCACUGCAAAGGAUACUGAUCACAGCACCUGGAUACAUAUGCUUUGGUGCAUAAAUGAGUCUUGAUGCUUGUGGGACAGACAUUUUCUCCCUUGAUGCUACCUGGUUUACAUCACAGCACCUGGAUCCAAGACUGAAGAGUUUUAGGUGGAGAUAAGAAUCAGCCAGGAGGAGGAUUUUCCCAAUGCGCUAAAGAAAGAAAUAACGAAGAG
rnacentral:lncRNA from 1 species